GAAUCCAUCCCGUUUUCGUCGUGUACACUUCCUACGACUAUUAGCUACGUUCCAGGCACCGACACUCAUCGUUAUACAUCGCGAAACACGCGUGGGCCACGAACGACCCAUAGGGUGCCAGUUACGUAACUGGAAAUAUCAUGGUACCACUUUAGAAAAAUGUAGCUGAAAAGGAAAGUGCAGCCCUCUGGUCUCUCGUUUAAAUAAAUAAAUAAUCGAUGAAAUUGAAGAAAAGGAAGACGGUGGAAUAAUUUUCGAAGGAAACAAUCGGACGUCUUUGCUUCGUUUAUCGCGCUAACGAGGUAUUGUUCGCGCGAUCCAACGGCAACGAUAACGAAGAACGCGUGCUGGGCUCGAUAGGGAAGAAGAAGUGGGUCACGUGCCGAUAAAACCGUGAUUUUGCCGUGACGUUUCCACGGAAUCCGUGGGCGUAAGCCAGUUGCACGCGUGUUGCGUGAAUAAGUUACUGUUCCGUGUCCUAUUAGAGGCGCGCCGUUGUCUCAUUCACGCGUUGUUUUAUGCCAGUCAUUGCGAUAUAACCGAGUUCUAUAUUAAAGUAGCGACAGCCUAAUUAAUUCGACUACAUCUGAUCUUUGCGUUGCAUCCGCCGUUCUGUUUUUCGUUCUUUCUUCUUCUUUUUUUUUUUUUUUCGAACGAAGGUUAAACGGAGACUGGAUUAUUUGCAUUUUCAACGUCUAGAUAUUUAAUCACUUUCGUGUGUUCGAUAUCUGGACAAUUCGUUAGUUGCUACGUGUUAAUUGAGCUGAUUCAUCGAUCGUCCUCUCGGUGUUAGGAAAAAGCUGGAAGAUGAGGAUUCUUAGUUCUUAAGCGUCUGUUAAUUUUCGUGUCUUUGGUAUUUGGACAAUUUGUUUGGUUACUACGAGUUAAUUUACUCUUAGUUUAUCGAUCGUCCCCUUAAUAUUAGAAAAAGACUGAUAUGCCAAAAGUGAAAUUGCGACAGUAAAAGGAAAAAGCUCAUAUAUAUGUAUGUGUAUAUGAACAUUGGAAUGGAAGAAACUAACGUCAAAGACGGAGAAAGAGAUAAAAGAGAAAGAAAAAUUAUCAUAAAGAAAAGGAGAAAUCGGGGAUAUAAGGAGAAAUAGAGUUUCUACAAAUAAAAAUACAGUAAGCGGAUUCCAAUGAGUUGUCGAACGAACACGACCUUGAAAUAUCUAAGAUUCUACGCUACUUAUGUCUAAAAGGACAAGAAUGGCUUUAGGCGAAGCAAAGUACAAACUUAGUCUUGCCGUGGUGUUACGCCAAGUAUACGUGAACUAUACACGACGAAUGGUAUGAAUAAUCGCGGCGAACGAGCCUUUUCACGUCUUGUUGCGCGUUACGCAAUCAGUCGAUCUGCGAAACGGCAUAAAAGCGCCGCACAGAACUCGAAGCUGGCGUCUAACGGCUAAAUUGUCCAACUGACAUGGAAACUACAGAGCAAGAAGCCGAUUGCAGAUAAUUUUCCACGCCUUCGUUUCUCGUCUCUCGUCUCUGCUUCUUUAUUGCCGCCGGCAGAAUUCGAAGUAUUCUCGGAUAAAGAAAUGUCUGUACGACGCACUUUUUACGUACGUUAUUUUUCUUUUCUUUUUUUCCUUUUCGUAAGAGAAAUACUUUUCGAAUUCUGGAAGGCGAAUUUUUCAGAAGAACCGAACCGUUCCAGGCGUAUGCGCAAUAUUUUAAAUGACAAGGUUCAUGAUAAAUGAUAAAAGUCAUAUUUCGACAAAAGAGUAGAAAGAAUUCAUUUAAUUGCUUCAUUUUAUUUCAUUAUGUUUAGAAAGGGUUAGAUUAUUACUAUUUCAAAUAAACAUCUUUUUGACGAUGAAAAAUUGUAGCCACGAUUUCAUUUCACGUUAUAAAAUUUCUCUAAUAAGGACGAUAAUUGAUAAUAAUAAAUAAUUGUCGAAAGGACCUCGUUAAUAUCUUUAACGAGUACCUAACUAAUGUAGCUAUGUCGAAAGAAGAGUUGACGCAAAGAUCUUUUUAGUUAGUUCGAGGCAAUGGUUCGAUAAACUAGCUGCGAUUGACGUCGUUUUAUUGACUUUCCUAUUAAUUAGAAAUUGUCGAGUGGCAUUAUUACGCCAGCUAAGAAAAUACACUUCUCAAGACGACGAAUACUUAUCGCGAAAUACACUCGAUGAAUCUUUCUCUGCGUGCUUGUUCAUCGGCAGACGAGAGAACGAACAACAGACAGAAUAUUGACUCGUCGAAUAGCUAUAUGUAUUAUUAAUUUCACUUUCGUUUCAAGAGAAUCGUUGAACCACGCGCAAAUAUUGCCUCUUAAAAUAGAUUUAUGUUACAAUAUGUAGUAGGAAGAUUUGUUUCGAAAAAGUUGAAUCAGAAAUAGAAAAUUAUGUAAUUGCGCAUAGUUAAGAAGUGAAUUAUCGUUGCUCGAUCGAUUCGUUGGAUCGAGAUCUUGUAUCGGUGAUUUUUGAAAUUUUCCAGCGUCCCAGCCUCGGGGUAGAAGAUGAACUUUGAAUAUGAAAAGUCGAGGAUUCUUUGAUCGUUGAAUCGGAAUAUUAAAAUAUCGAAUUAAAAUAUCUGUGAAUCGUAGGUUUUUAAUGAACUCUGCUGGAAGCUUCUAAAACUUACAACCAUCGAAUACCAUGAUUUUUCACUUUUCCAUUCUCGAAACUUCCAACCUUUAAACGUUCAGGUUUCCCAAUUCAACGUUUAAAUAUAUUUAAAACUUCAAACUUGUCGACUUUCGAGUCUCGAACUCAAAAGCUUCAGAUCGCUGCUACCCGAUCGAUCGAAUUUCGAGGCAUAGAAAUAGAUGAUCGCAGGAACUUUGUCGAAAGGUCGUUCGUCGAAUUCUUCCGCUCGUUUAAAAAUAUUCUCUUAAAAUUGCGUAAUUGCGAAAAUUUGCAUAAAAAUUCCAUGUGGCGAAAAUAAGAGGUUUCGAGGAGGGUCGCGUCGUUUCUUGCGAGAUAUUCUUUGAAAGCUGUUCGCGCGUAUCUCGCCAAGGAUUCAACGGAACGCGACCUAAUUUCGUACCGGAGUCGUGUCGUAUUUCUGCCUUGAGACCCUUCGAGGUUACGUUCACCGGCUUUCUUGAGGUAUCGUUUCCCUCGAAGAUUCAGCACGCGGCGAGGAAAAACGAAACGGAGCGCUUGCACCGACGAUCGUUACGUGAACGUUCGUCGGGGAUAAGUUGCCUCUGCAAGUAAUUGAAACGAUAUUGAAAAAACGUGGAAAAGCUUCACCGAUAAUGUUACAUCGCAUAAGAAAUUCAACGUGCAAAUGUGCAUCUUUGAAAAUUUCUACUGCUCGCGUGCAAUACUGUUUUUGAUUGAGACUAUUCGUGUCGAAAUGUAACACCGUGUAUGUUGUUGUAGGUGAAAGAAAUUCUGCUAAAAUAGAUAUGGAAAUACAUGGUAAUAGAAAAUGGAAUUAUUACAGUGUGAAAGGAUGUUGAAAUUGCGUGAAAAUACUCAGGACAAAAUAAUUUCUGAAUAAAUUUGACAUUUAAAGUGCCAUCGUAUGUAGCGCGAUUAUUAUCAUCUAUUCCCUGGAAAAAUUUGCAAACAUGUGUUUUUGAAUCACCAAUGACUCUAGAAACGUAAGAAAUUUUUACAACGAGAAAAACAGUGAUUCUCUGAAUCGUCCGUUUUGAGUUCUUUUGACGUGUUAUUAUUGGAUUGGCAACUAAGUGAUUGCGGGAUCCUUAUCAGGAAUUAAUUGUACAGAUUCAUCGGAAAGGAAGUUUACUGGAACUUUUAAGAAGCUAAUCCCACGGGAGCAGCGACAUACUUUAAAAUCUUCAACUCGGUGUUCUAUAAUUUCCCCGAGGAUACAAACGACACGGUCUCGCCCAGGCUAACGAAAAACGCACGAAGAACAGCGAAAACUACGAAGAGAAAUGUUAUCCUUUCCAUAAAUUGUAAAUCACGAGCAAAUAUUUAUGCGCGUGAAAAUUCUUUUCAAUCUACGCUUAUUCUUUCACACUCUUAGGAAAUCUCUUCAGUCGAAUAUUUCUCAUUAAAAAAAAAAAAAAAAGAAGAAGAAGAAGCAAAUUGUCGAUCGAAAAGUGUCAAGAAUACUUUAAGAAAGUUAAAAAAUAA